GCCUCUCCUCUCUUCUCUUCCUCUCUUCUCAGAUCAGAGCAGAUCUCCUCCUCCAAAAUUAAAUCAAUUUUGGACUCCUUCCUCCAUUGCAGAUAAGAGCAAUUUGUAAUUUUGUAUAUCGCAAAUCUUGAUGGGAGCUUUGAGUUCAAGAAGGUUGGGCUGACUGAGAAAGAUCUCCCUGGAGGUGGUGCAGAGGUGUCGUAUCUCCGCCUCCGUCAUCUACACAUACUUCGUCAUCCAGUCACUCUUCGUCAACACAAGCCGUCAUAUAAGAUUGUCCACAAUCGUCUCUGAGCUCUCACUUCGCUAGAUCGGGUUUCGCCUCUUUCUCACAUACUGGAGCAACCACUUGUUCUUUCUCCUCAACCAAUUCUGGUGCGUUCACUCCUUCCUCUGUUUUUAAAAUUGACAUUUCUCUUCUGUCUUCCUUCUCCUCUGCGCGUAAUCGGUUGAUUAAGUUUUAAUGUGGUUUUUUUUCGGUUGCUCUAGUUUGUAUCGGAAUUGAGCUCUUCUUCUCCAUAAUGGGGGGCAUCGAUUUAAUUCUCUAGGACUAAAAUUGUUUGGUGUUUUGGUCUGUUUUUGUUUGUCUCGGAAUAUUGGCCUAUCUGUUUAAAUGGUCAUAUGUGGGAUGUUAAACGUGAUGACUUUGAUUCAUUAGAAGACUCUAAUGUUGGAAGGCUUGAGAUUGCCAACCUUUCACAUGAUGAAUCUUAAUUGGAGACGUUCUUGUUUGAAGAUGAUGAGUUUGAAGAGAAAAACAUUGCGGAUAAUGAUGUUGUUGAAGCUUGAUGAAGUCAUUAAUUGAAAACAACUUUCCCUUAUUUGUAUUUUAAUUUGACUAUAGACCUUUUCUCAAACCUUUGUUUGAGUUUGGAUUUGGAUUGACUAUGUGAUGAAGUCAUUUGUUAUUUGUAUUGUAAUUUGAUUAUGCAUCCUUGUUUGGAUUUGGAUUGAUGUUUUUUAUUAAGAAACUAUUUUGUUGAUGUUAUUUUUUCAAUUAUAUUAUAAUAAUAUUAUAUUUAUUUUUAAUUUUGACUUUUCUUUCACGUUUCGUAUCAGACUAUAUUUUGAUUUUGACGUUUCCGCGUAUCGGAUUGUAUCGGAAACCAAAACUCGUUUCCAUUUCCGUGUAACAUAGGUGGCUGUUAAGGGUGUAUGUGAACCCUUUAGGGUGAGUGAGUCUGGAUUGGAUUUCGCCGAUCUGGAUUUGAGGUUUCACGGGAAAGUAAGGCUUCUCGACGACACUAGCUGGACUGAGACGACAGGCUCAUGUGGUUCCAUGGACCAAUUCAUGUUACGAUCUGAAUGAAGUUAUUCGGGGCUCGAGUUUUGGAUCCAAGAUGGUGGACCAAGGUUCGACACCAGCUUGGCCAGAGGGAGAAUGUGGUUCCUUUGUUGAGAGGAUGAGUUUCACCUGGUUUUGGGGUUGUUGAGGUCUUUGGGUCUGAGUUUGGGUUCAAACCUAGGACUGAUCAAGACUAGGCUUAGGUCGUUGGGCUCGAAUUCCAAGCAAAGAAGGGUUAUUUUGUAGUUUUUCAUGAUGUGAUAGUUCCCCUUAAUACCAAUGGUAGGGGCACGACUUAGGACUCGAGUUAUACCAGCCUAAGCAUCAUAUGUAAUUUUAUUACUUCAUUCUUAAGUCAAAUGUACACCAAUUGAGGUCUUAAGUAGCUAAUAUUUAGUUUCAUGAAAUAAGUAGUAAUUAAGGUUAUUUUCUUUUGCUUCAGGCUCUUUAUAAGUCCAUGUGUCAACAGUAAAGUUAUCAGUCAUGGGCUUGUACUCCUAGCUUAACAAACUUAGUAGCUUUUAGUAAUUGAUAAAGCAAUACAGUGACUCCUAAUAAAUUUAAAAAAUAAAAAAAAGAUAUUAAGAAAGAGUUCAAAACUACCAUUUUCUUUAUUAAUUUUUCUGAUAACAAGAUGUGCUUACAGGAUAUGAGGCGACUUACGCAUGCUGACGAGGUAGUGACUUUCUAAUUAUGUCACAGAAGACCAGAAGAUGCUACCUAAGUAAUUGCUGAUGAUCAGUCAUGUUCACCUAGUCAGUUACUGACCAAAUGAUCCUUGGUCAACCACCGUUAGAUUUAAAUCCAAGGGCUGAAAAUAAAACAACUUAACUUUAAAAUAAUACUUCCCAUCAUUGUAUUUACAUCCAAAGGUGAUUGACUAUGAUUCUCUUGGUCAGUCACUGACCAAGUGAACACUAUUGUGCUAAUGAUUACACACAAUUUUAUUUUAUUUCGAUAACUUACACACAUAAAACAUUAGACACUUGCUUUUUCAUAAAAAGUGAGGAGGAAGGGAUGCUAAAAACUUAUCAACCUAAUCAAACUAGGAUGGAAAUUUUUCUCAAUCGUUUGUCACUUACUUAUUCCGGCUAAUCGGGUUCCAUAAGUGGAUGAUAAAUACAGUCCAUAUGUGUACUGCACCCGGUAUGAGAUUAAAGACAUCAACAUAUUACCCAUUAGUUUGUAUACGGUUUGGUGAGUUUCUUAUUUUCACCCCCUAUUACCAAUUAGUCUCCCACCGUGAACGAUACCAUUUAGUCUAAUGACAUAAUCACACUACUAAAUAUUGUGAAUAAUUUAGAGGAGGGGAGGGGGGGGAGGGAAAAUGUCGUUGGAAGCACGGAGCUAACUACGUUCUCCUCAACAUACAGUUGAGGAGUAACAAUACUAAAUCAAUACUAAAUACUAUAAAAAACUUUUUGGUGAAGAUCACGAGAAGGUUAUUAAAUUGAUUAUAGAUAUGAUCUUGAAAUGAAAGAAAUCAAAAACCAGAUACAAUGUCGUAUUCAAACAUUUCUCUUCUAUCCUCUCUCUUACAUUUAUGUCCCUUAGAACUUUAUCAUUAUUCUCAGCACCGAGUGAGAUUCGUCAAUGAUCAUUUUGUGCAGGUACACUUGAAACCUAGUCACCCAAUGUCUUCUACUACAAAAGACUAGAAAAGGUAUAUCAUGAGCAUAAUCAAACAUUUAUAGAAGAAUGGAGCACCCUUUACUCUGCUCAUUUGCAGCAUUUCAAACCCUUACAUCCUAAGCUCUUAUAGAAAGUUGAUAUAGAAGUGGUUAAUUUUGAUUGAUGUUGCCUACUUCGACUUUACUUACAUGCACCGGAUGUUGUUAUGGAUUUUUAUUGUUAAUUUAAUUAGAAAAUGAACUUAAAGAAAUUAAAGGAAACCUUAUCUCAUCACAUAUUUUCGAAAUAUGUCCACUAAACAAUGAGUUGAGUAACUAGCCUUAACUUCUUGGCGUGGGUGAAGAAGCAGAUGAAAAACUCUAAACAUGCCUCAUGUCGCCUAAUGCUAAUGCUAAUGAUGAUGAUACUGAUGAACCAGGGCCGGCCCUGUAUCAGUGGAGGCCCUAGCUAGACGUAAAAGUACAAAAUGAAUUUUUAUAGAAUUUUUUAUUAGCCAAUCAAUUAAAAUUUAAAACAUAAGCAUUCAUACUGGAAGGAAGUUAAUCAUUUUUAUGCUAACAAGUUAAUUAGGAAAGUCAAAUAUCAAAUUAAAUUCAACAAAAUGGAAAGAAAGAUAUAUCUAAAUUGUAAUUUGAACUUAUGGAAUUUGAUACUUGAAGUAGUUUCAUAAAUAAUUGAAGAAAUUAGCAAAUAACAAUUGAAAAUGAAUCUUGUUUUUAAAUUUCAACAAAAAUGAUAUGGAAGGAAUAAAAUUUUGGAGGCCCCUCAAUUACUAGAGGCCCUAAACACAAGCCUAGAAGCUCUUGCCUCAAGGUCGGUCAUGUGAUGAACCUCUACCACUGGGAGGCUGAGUGGGUGCGAGGUGGCCGCCGCUCAUCACUUUUUAGUGGUCAGAUAAUGUGAGGUUUAGUGGGUAACUCAACCAAUACAAUAGUCUUGGCCCUCAACCUAAAGCAUGCUUCAGAAUUUUAGAAAUUCAUUAAUUCAUAUAAGAAAGGGACGUUCCGUUCAUACCUCUAAUGACACGACCCACCCUAAAUUUCACCCUGAAACCCGGAGUAAGUCGUGCGGAGACCACCUCCAAGACCACCUCCAAGGAAAAUUUACCGAAAAGAUUGGUAAAACCUCCCUUGGAAAUGGACAAUCCUAACCCGAAAAAUUUCCAAUUUACACUCUUACUACAGCACGUCCAAAAAAUAUCACACAAAUAUCCAGCUAAAUAAAAGCAAAUAUUAUCCUUCAGAAAUUCUAAACAUAAAGUCAACCGACCGAGCACACCACCGAAAUAAUAUACAAUAAUCCCAAAGUAUUCAGAGCUACUAGACGCUAGCGGAAGCAAGAAAACACUAGUAGGUUAAACAGGUAACCUACUGAUGAAAACUGGCGGAAAAGCGGGUAACUAUGCCUCGUCUCCUACUAGGUCCAACCCGAACUCUGCAGACUGGGCAUUUUAAAACGAAGAGCCCAGGAGAAAACAUGUGGAACAGUUAGAGUGAGUGGACAAAAAUAAAUUAAAUAAAAAUAUUUCUUUAUGCUUCCCCAAUUUAAUUUCCAAAUAAAAUAAUACUGCAUGCAAUUGCUCAAAAGCGCUCAACUCAAAAACCGGCAACUUCACGACUAGCACCGGCUAGUCUCCAAAACUUAAUAAAAUACAGCCUCUCAGGCUAAAUUAUAUAUAAACAUAUAAACAUAUAUAAGUGUAUGAAUUCUAAGAACAAAUUAGAAAAAUAGAAAUUCAUACAAGGCUACUACGCUUGCGUCUAACGCUCACGUCACACCAUAAUGGAAUUGUACCUCAGUAUGGCGAAAAAAGCACGAGUGUAUAUACGUGUGGACUCCCUGUAUGAAAACCUAAAUAAACCAAAUAAGAAAAUAGUUUUCAUAUAGGGCUACUACGCUUGUGUCUAACACUCACGUCACACCAUAAUAGUAUUUUACCUCAUUAUGGCGGAUCAAACACGUAUGGCUAGAUAGCAUUUACAUAUACAUACUAUCAUCAUAAACAUCUAAUAAACAUAUCCACCUAAAAUCUCAUUUUCGGGAUCUCUCCAAAGGAGGAAAAUUGCCAAAUAUCCGAGAAAUAAAUAAAUCUCAGGAAAAGAAAUAAAUGAUCAACAGAUAAUUCAUCGCAUGCUUUUCAAUUAAAAUAAAGGUCCACUCACAAAUUAGGCCUAAGCCUGAUGACGCUCCAAGGCUUCCUCUGCUCGGGCCUCCUCUCGUCCUGUUCCAAAUAUAUAAUUAAUUUCCCACCAAAAAUCCAAUAAUUAAACAAAAUGGGCAAAAUUAAAUGUGAGCCUCCCACACACUCAUCAUUGCCCAAAUUCGCCAUUCUUAACUCAAUACGGCUCAAACUUCGCCGAACAUACCGGCAGCCGUAAAAACAACUUCCCACAGUAUACGACUUAAAUCCUACGGCCGGAUUCUACAUUAAUUAACCGCCAAAAAUACCAAACUUCGAAAAUUCACAAACCUAUCCAAAACUCAUCCAAAAAUUCCAUAACUCACUUCAAUAAACUCCCCUUAAUAAUCCAAAUCUAAAAACAUUAAAAUCUCCCAAAUAGCUCCGGCGCCGGCAGCGGCGGCCGGAGGCUGAUUCCGGCGACCUCCAAUUCCUAUGAAAUUUUAACAGCAUCUUCCUCUCAUCAUGCUCUACAACUUUCCUAACUAGCACAAACCCAAAAUCCAAGCCUAGCUAUGCCAAUCGAACAAAAACAUCAAAAACGCCCUAGAGCUUCCACCUCAAAUUUAUCCUUACCUAAAGCAAACCGGAGUGAGUCCUUUUAGGGCAAGGCAGCUGGGUUAGAGACCUACAAAACCGUACCAAGCUUUCCCUGAUUGGUGGCCGGAGGAGGGAGUUCUGGCGAAAAGCUUCCCGGCGUUUCCGGCGAGUUUUCUCUUCUUCCGGUGGGCUAACGGCUCGGGGGCUAGGCCGGGGAGGGAGAGGAGGUGAUGGGGGUCCGAACUGGGGUGGAGUGGUGGCUGGUGGCUGGCCGGAUGGCGGCAGCUGGCAGCUGGAAGUUUUCGGCGAAGGGAGAGAGAGCACAGGAGGGAGACAGAAGAGAAAAGAGAGAAGAAGAGAAAGAGAGGAAAUGGGUUGGGCCUCUCCAACCGGUCCAACUCCAUUAUUAUACCCAACUCCCACAAAAUAAAACACCCCGAAAAAAUAAUACCCGAAUUAAAAUUACCUUUUACUAGCUAAAAUUUACCAUUUUUACUGUCGUCAUAUUUUCCUCCUACGAAUAAUCCUCCGCACAUAAUCGUCCCCGAAACCCCUCUAGGGACCAAUUAAACUAUUAACUUAAUGACGGAGACGGUAAAAUUCUUAUUAUAAACAAACUAGUAAAUAAGGUAAAAAUAUAAGAGUCGGGAUGUGACAUCUAAAGCUAGCACUUGGACCUCUCAAUUUGUUUUUGUAAGUGAUUGUUAAUUUUAUUGAUUCACAUAAAAUUACUAAUAACGACACAAAAAAUGAACAACAGAAGUUCAAAUCAAUAAAUUAAUAUUUUAUUUAGGUAUAGAAUUGGUACAUGGUUUCCUUAACAAAAAAAAAAAAAAAAAAAGAAAUGGUACAAGGUUAGAUCGAGAUGAAUGUGAAAUCUGGGUUCAUAAAAAACUCAGUUUCACAAUUCAAGAGAUGAUGUAGGUAUAGAAUUGGUACCUACAUCACAAAUCAAUAUUUUAUUUAGGUAUAUAAUUAUUGGUACAUGAUU
rnacentral:lncRNA from 1 species